rnacentral:rRNA from 1 species
GACGAACGCUGGCGGCGUGCUUAACACAUGCAAGUCGAACGGAAAGGCCCUGCUUUUGUGGGGUGCUCGAGUGGCGAACGGGUGAGUAACACGUGAGUAACCUGCCCUUGACUUUGGGAUAACUUCAGGAAACUGGGGCUAAUACCGGAUAGGAGCUCCUGCUGCAUGGUGGGGGUUGGAAAGUUUCGGCGGUUGGGGAUGGACGCGCGGCUUAUCAGCUUGUUGGUGGGGUAGUGGCUUACCAAGGCUUUGACGGGUAGCCGGCCUGAGAGGGUGACCGGCGACAAGGGUCCUACGAUACGGCGCAGAGUGCUAUGUGAGGCAACAGGGGCGAGUCUGGUCCAGUGAUCCGACGUCGGAGGAAGCGACGUUCGGUGUGGGAUGACGGCCUGUGGGGUGUGAACCGCUGUAGCCUAUUACGAAGCUUGACUGACGGUAAUGAGUAAAUAAGCACCGGCUAACUUCGUG